ACGCUCGACACCUACGGAAGGCAGCAGUCGGGAAUAUUGCGCAAUGGAGGAAACUCUGACGCAGUGACGCCGCGUAUAGGAAGAAGGUUUUCGGAUUGUAAACUAUUGUCGUUAGGGAAGAUACAAGACAGUACCUAAGGAGGAAGCACCGGCUAACUAUGUGCCAGCAGCCGCGGUAAUCUGAGCGGGCUGGCAAGGC
rnacentral:rRNA from 1 species